GUGCCAGCAGCCGCGGCGGUAAUACGGAGGGUCCGAGCGUUAAUCGGAAUUACUGGGCGUAAAGCGUGCGCAGGCGGUUUGUUAAGCGAGAUGUGAAAGCCCUGGGCUCAACCUAGGAAUCGCAUUUCGAACUGACCAACUAGAGUCUCGUAGAGGGGGGGAGAAUUCCAGGGGUUGCGGUGAAAUGCGUAGAGAUCUGGAGGAAUAACGGUGGCGAAGGCGGCCCCCUGGGCAAAGACCGACGCCCAUGCACGAAAGCGUGGGGGGCAAACAGGAUUAGAUACCCUGGUAGUCCAAGCCC
rnacentral:rRNA from 1 species